GUACACUCCUGCGGGAGGCAGCAGUGGGGAAUUUUGAACAAUGGGCGAAAGCCUGAUCCAGCAAUGCCGCGUGAGUGAAGAAGGCCUUCGGGUUGUAAAGCUCUUUUGUCAGGGAAGAAACGGUGAGAGCUAAUAUCUUUUGCUAAUGACGGUACCUGAAGAAUAAGCACCGGCUAACUACGUGCCAGCAGCCGCGGUAAUACGUAGGGUGCAAGCGUUAAUCGGAAUUACUGGGCGUAAAGCGUGCGCAGGCGGUUUUGUAAGUCUGAUGUGAAAUCCCCGGGCUCAACCUGGGAAUUGCAUUGGAGACUGCAAGGCUAGAAUCUGGCAGAGGGGGGUAGAAUUCCACGUGUAGCAGUGAAAUGCGUAGAUAUGUGGAGGAACACCGAUGGCGAAGGCAGCCCCCUGGGUCAAGAUUGACGCUCAUGCACGAAAGCGUGGGGAGCAAACAGGAUUAGAAACCCGAGUAGUCCCAU
rnacentral:rRNA from 1 species